rfam:Sorghum bicolor cultivar BTx623 chromosome 7, whole genome shotgun sequence.
GUAAUCGGAUUCGCAUCAAUCCACGUGUGUUGGGGUGGAUUGAAGUAGAACUUGAACUAAAUUUCACCUCAAUCCACUCCAACAUAUGUGGAUUGUGGAUUGAGGUGAAUCCGACA